GAUCUGAAUCCACUAAUUGGAUUUACCUCUGCCAGAAGUAAAAGAAAAGGAGGAAAGUUCCUUGGGUUGCCUCUGAUGAUUUUAAAUAAAAAAAGGGAAGAAAAGAAAACUUCAACUGGAAUCCAUUUUUAUUGGCAGAGGUCAAAUGAAGGCCUCUAGCUUUCAGGGCUGGUGGAAAUGAGCAGAAGGAAUGUCUGGAGGCAGCACUGGGAUAUCAAGACAAGUGUGUCUGUCUUGUCUCUGCAUUCUCCAUUUGUGGUGACACCUGGAAUAUUUUCUAGGAUUUUUUCUAUUGCUGGAAUUUCCAAGGGCCCUACCUCCAGAACAGGUAUUAUCCAAGACCGCAAGAACACAAAGAUGCAUACCAAGAUGUGCCUAUUUAAAAACUGGUAUUUUAGUGACUAAGCAAGACACUGGAAGACAUCAGAAAGCAACAUGAAGAAGAAUAUAAUAGAACUAUACCCCAACUGUGAGAUCAUCACGUAAGAAGGAACAAACAGAACGCACUCAACAGAUAAGCAGCAUCAUGCAGUAGUGUGUGUGUGUGUGUGUGUGUGUGUGUGUGUGUGUGUGUGUUUUAACGCAAAUGAAAAAGAGGAAGCAAGGAACCCAUGUACUGUGGUAUUCGUUUGGCUGAUUAGUUGGGUAUUAUGUUUGGUUGGUUUUUGCUGUUGUUGCUUGUGUAGGGAAUAUUUUUUUUUUUUGGGGGGGGGUUUGCUAGCUUGAACAUGCACGUACAUGUAAAUUUAAAGCUGAAGUAACAACAUUUUCAUCCUGGGACCCAUAUUAUAUGAUUAUAGUUAGCUUUGUAUCUACCAGGUGUUCCUUAUUCUUAAAGAAAUCCAAUUUUGGAUUCUGGGAAAUACAAAUUUUGUUCUUACAGCAACAUGCACUAGGAGGUGAGAAAUGGUUGUUUUAGCUCAGUUUUUAAAAAUUCCGGGGGUUUGGGAUUGGCAUAUGCACACUGUGGUAUAUAGAAUUAUUGACCAAAGGGGACCUGCGCUAUAGCACAGGGAACUUCACCCAAUAUUCUGUGACAACCUAUAUGGGAAAGGAAUCUGAAAAAAGAAUGAAUGCAUGUACAUGUAAAACUGAAUCACAUUUUGGUACAGCAGAAAUUAUCACAACAUUGUAAGUCGACUAUAUUUCAAUAAAACAUGAAAAAGACUCUGUUUUCCUUUAUCA
rnacentral:lncRNA from 1 species